rnacentral:ncRNA from 1 species
AAUGGAUGCUCAUCAGAAGCAAGGGAGGUGGGAGGAAUAAUAGGUAGGCACUAAAAGGGACUUGGCAAUCAUGACGCAUCAUCUUACCUGCUGAAAAAAUCAGCUGGCUUUAGCUAGGAGAACAGGCCACCUUACUUAACCCAGAAAAGGAAUAUGUAAAAUAUGUGUUCAAUAAAUAGCCAAAUGCCUUGUCAUCUAAUUAGUGAUGUGCAUGAAUGGAUGAAUGAGAUUCCCACUGUCCUUAUCUACUAUCCAGUGAAACCACAGCCAAGGGAACAGGCUUGGUGGAAUCAGGAGGGAAAGAAGACCCUGUUGAGCAUGAUUCUAGUUUGGCACUCUAAAGAGACAUAAGAGGUGUAGAAUAAGUGGAAGGCUCUGCAGUCUCCCCUGUGGCUCUCUCUCCAGGCUCUGUCUCCAUCAAAAGGGGAUGCCAGGAGGAGAAGAGGAUGGGGGCCACCAUGCAGGGAUGCUCCAGGCCCCAGGAACUCAAUUGGCUGAGUAAGAAGUGAGUGAUGGGAGUUACCAGCUCUCAGAGCUUGGCCAGUCACUUUUCUCUGAGCUGGGCCAGCUGGCCCCAGCACCACCAGCCAGGCAGCAUCAUCCCACAACUCCUCAUUGACUCAUUUUCACAAGAGCUCGCUAGGUGGGAGUUUCAAACACUCCAGAAGAUUCCCCAUGGCAGGGGAAUACUGGCCUCUGCUUUGCAUGUAUCAGGAGUUGCACUGGAACUCUUGAUGGCCUCCUAGGAUGGAUCAGUAGCCCUCUGGCAUGUUCGAACUUGCUUGUGCCCAUCCCCCCCAGCCUGGUUUGGAACCUCCCUUCCAAGCCUUGUGAACUUCCCCACCCCAGAGAUGUGAGGGCUUGUUAAGGAACCUUGUAAAGCUGGGGGCUCCAAACCUGCCAUUUACUUUUGUUUGAUUACUUUCUGUUCACAUUUAAACUUCAAUUAUUGAUUUUAUUUGUUUUUAUUAAAGAUUGUUUCCUACAUUUUAUACCACUAGUUUUAUGGAUAUAUAUCCUCCCCCCACCAGGCUGAAGGCAGUAGUUUAAAGGAAAGGAGUGAAUGGAGGCAAGUCCACGCUCAGGGCAGCAGGCGAACCCCCUCCUUGCCUACCUUGUCUUCCCAGGUGCCUCUGUACAACAGGUAUGAGGCUUUGGAUUUGGAAGGUCAGUCAACUGAUGAUGUGGAUGAUGGUCCAUCUACACCAGAGGUGUUGCCAAGGUCAGAAAGGCCUACCCCCCCUAUCACAACCGCCUCCA